rnacentral:lncRNA from 1 species
AUGUUGCCCAGGUUGGUCUCAAAGUUCUGAGCUCAAGUGAUCCACCUGUGUCCGCUCCACAACAUGCUGGAACUACAGCGUUUCACGCCCCGAUGCCUGGAAUCUUGCUUGGCACAGAGUGGGAGCUCAAUGAAUACGUACUGAAUGGAUGACCUCACUGGAGUCCUGAGCAGACGGAAAGCGCCACAUCAGGAGGUGGGAGAUGAGGAAACCCGGACAGCAGAGGGGCUCGUGUUCCUCCCAAGGUUGCUCAGCUCUGAAGAUCAAACCUCCCCUUGACCCCAGCUGUGUGCACACCCACAGCCCCAAAGCCCAGGCUUUGCACCAGCUUUUGGCACAGUCGAAAUAGAUAAAUUAUCCCCAAACAGCCUCCUAAGCUCUAGAAAGAGAAGCUAAGCCAGUGUGAAUAAACCUUGUAAUAUUUAUUCUAGCACCUAUGUUAAUUUUGUGUCAUAUCUGUGGUUCUAGAGACUUAUAG